GACGAACGCUGGCGGCGUGCCUAAUACAUGCAAGUUGAGCGCUGAAGGUUGGUACUUGUACCAACUGGAUGAGCAGCGAACGGGUGAGUAACGCGUGGGGAAUCUGCCUUUGAGCGGGGGACAACAUUUGGAAACGAAUGCUAAUACCGCAUAAAAACUUUAAACACAAGUUUUAAGUUUGAAAGAUGCAAUUGCAUCACUCAAAGAUGAUCCCGCGUUGUAUUAGCUAGUUGGUGAGGUAAAGGCUCACCAAGGCGAUGAUACAUAGCCGACCUGAGAGGGUGAUCGGCCACAUUGGGACUGAGACACGGCCCAAACUCCUACGGGAGGCAGCAGUAGGGAAUCUUCGGCAAUGGACGAAAGUCUGACCGAGCAACGCCGCGUGAGUGAAGAAGGUUUUCGGAUCGUAAAACUCUGUUGGUAGAGAAGAACGUUGGUGAGAGUGGAAAGCCCAUCAAGUGACGGUAACUACCCAGAAAGGGACGGCUAACUACGUG
rnacentral:rRNA from 1 species